AAGAACUUCUUCCGCGAGAUCGCA
rnacentral:miRNA from 1 species